UACAGAGGUCCCAAGCGUUGUUCGGAUUCACUGGGCGUAAAGGGUGCGUAGGUGGUGAGGUAAGUCUGAUGUGAAAUCUCCGAGCUCAACUCGGAAAUGGCAUCGGAAACUACCUCGCUAGAGGUUUGGAGGGGGGACUGGAAUUCUCGGUGUAGCAGUGAAAUGCGUAGAUAUCAGGAGGUACACCAGUGGCGAAGGCGGCUCACUGGCCCGGUACUGACGCUGAGGUGCGAAAGCGUGGGGAGCAAACAGG
rnacentral:rRNA from 1 species